GCUUUCGGGCUCGGCGCAGUCUGCGGGCGGGAGGGCGCCGGCGAGGUGGCGAGGGCGGCUGGCGCGGGGGCGCGGGAGCCCCGGCUAAGCCCGGGGACGGGAGGGCGCCCCCUCCCAGCGCCCGAACCCAGGCAACUUCCCGCCGCCCGGGCAGGAGUUUCUCCGUAGCCCACGGACAUCCGGGAGGCUUGUGGAGGGCAGGCGGGUAACCCCCACUCCCACCCCACCUUUAUCCAGGGGCAGCCAGAGGAGCCAGCAGGUCGGGACUCGCUGAGGGGGCUCCACGCGGGGCCUCCCACGCACAGACAAAAAGAACAGCGUAUGACUCAGUUAAGGAGGUGGCAGUGUGGACAAAACACACAGAGAGCAAGAGGAUGAGCCUUCCACUAAAGGUCAGUGGUCUCCCCAGGGUCUUUCAGCCCAAAUUCAGUCCCCUGGGAGUGCAAAGCUGCCACCAUCUGCCUAGCCCCAUGCCUGACCACUUUCCAAGCUUCUCUGGCUCCAUGACCUUCCUCUGUGCUCAGCUGGGUAACAUCUGGCUGCAGCCUCAUGGGAAGGCUGGCCAAGAUCGGGCAGGUACAGAGAAGUUUGCUUGUGGAUAUGAGCAUGGCUUCUCUGGUUUUGCACAGCAGAGACCUUGGAGAGGAAAGCCAGGGAAGGUGCAGGACCCCACCCUGCAGGAAGCCAGCACAGUGACAUGGUACUGGUCAUUGGGGAGAGAGCCUGAGCCUCUGCAGUUGUCCUUGUCUGA
rnacentral:lncRNA from 1 species